GACGAACGCUGGCGGCGUGCUUAACACAUGCAAGUCGAACGGAAAGGCCCUGCUUUUGUGGGGUGCUCGAGUGGCGAACGGGUGAGUAACACGUGAGUAACCUGCCCUUGACUUUGGGAUAACUUCAGGAAACUGGGGCUAAUACCGGAUAGGAGCUCCUGCUGCAUGGUGGGGGUUGGAAAGUUUCGGCGGUUGGGGAUGGACUCGCGGCUUAUCAGCUUGUUGGUGGGGUAGUGGCUUACCAAGGCUUUGACGGGUAGCCGGCCUGAGAGGGUGACCGGCGACAUUGGGACUGAGAUACGGCCCGGACUCCUACGGGAGGCAGCAGUGGGGAAUAUUGCACAAUGGGCGGAAGCCUGAUGCAGCAACGCCGCGUGCGGGAUGACGGCCUACGGGUUGUAAACCGCUUUCGCCUGUGACGAAGCGUGAGUGACGGUAAUGGGUAAAGAAGCACCGGCUAACUACGUG
rnacentral:rRNA from 1 species